GCGCUGGCCGUAGCGAGCUGGAUGAGCUUCAGGAGGAGGUAGUGAGGAGAGCGAGGCAGCAGGAGCAGCAGAGGAGGAAAGAGGCGGAGAGAGAAGCUGCCGUGGGAUUCAACCCCAGACCCUCCAAAUACAUGGACUUAGACCAGCUGCAACACCAGGUGAACAGCCUGGCCCGCUCCAAGUACUGCUGACGCCCAAUCAGGAGGGGGAAGAGGUCCGGCCAGCCUACCAGGAUGCAGCCCUGGGCCCUGGCCAGCCCCCUCUCUCCUACAGACCCUCCCCCAACCUCACCCCUCUCCACUCAUCCCUCCAACCCCCUCCCACCAACAACCCCGCAGCACAGGUUGAGGAGGGGAGAGACAGCCUUUUUAGCGGGGGAGAGGAGAGAGAACGGGUCAGGAGGGAGGAGGAUGUGGGGAUGAGUGAGAUGGGGGGACAGGGACUGAGGAAAGUUGAGGAAGGGGAGCGGUUGAGGAGGGGUGAGGAAAGACAGGGGGUGAGGCUGGAGGAGUUGUUACAGGUUGGGGGUGUGUGUGUGAGACCUCUAGGCAGACACCUGGCCAUCUCUCUUCCCUCUUUACCUCUCAGACUCUGGGAUAUAUCAGACACACACACUACCCCCUCACACACACAUUCACCCGCUGACCCCCAACACACACCACCCCCACCCCCACAUUCAAACACUGACUCCCCACACAUGUAUACAGACCCUGAGCCCCCACACAAACAGUCUGACCCUCCGCCCACCCCCCCCUGCAGUCAGCCCCACCCCUCCCCGCCCACCGCCUCUUCUGAUUGGCCCAAUCAAGUUUCCACCUUCAACACCAACACAAGUCAUUGGUCCUCCUGGAGCUUGGACCGCCCAGAUGCCGUGGUUACGCCAUAUGACACACCUCCAGAUCGCUGCCUCCCUAAUAAGGCACACCUCUCCCACAGAAAAUACAACUCCCAGCCUGCCCCUGCACAGCAUGAACCCUGUGACCCUGAGGAGGCAGAGUUAUCAGAGCUGGACUUCCUGUACCGGGCCAGUCUCCAGGCAGGAAGUAGAGGUGGCAGCCCGGCCGGGAGGCUGCAGUGUAGGGUAAGAGGGCCAGCCCGCUCCUUCACUCCCAACACCAGCAUGGAGGGGAGUGUGUACCAGACUGACAGCAGCAGUACAAUGGUCCGCAGUCUGAGCGGCACAGUCAUCAACCCGCGUCGCCACCGUCUCACCGCAGCACGCAGCUUUGAGAUGCCCAAUGGCACGGGGAGUUUCUGGUGUCUGACGGGGGUGAAGCUGACUUCAGACCACUUAAGACAGUGGUCUUCAGACCACUGACGUGCCUCCAUAUGCAUCUACGCUACAGGCACCUCCCAGGGCAGCUUGCUGGGGUCCUUACCCUCUACACCGCUACAGGAAACUCGUAGGGCAGCUCUCCGGGGUCCUAACACGCCACACCGCUACAAGCACAUCCCACAUUGGACCUCUAGGGUCCUAACCCUCCACAGUUCUACCGGCACCUCCCAGGGCAGCUCUAUGGGGUCCUUACCCUCCACACCACUACGGGGACCUCCCAGGGCAUCCUUCUAGGGUCCUAACCCUCCACAGUUCUACAGGCACCCCCCAGGGCAGCUCUAUGGGGUCCUUACCCUCCACACCGCUACGGGGACCUCCCAGGGCAGCCUUCUAGGGUCCUAACCCUCCACAGUUCUACAGGCACCUCCCAGGGCAGCUCUAUGGGGUCCUUACUCUCCACACAGCUACAGGGACCUCCCAGGGCAGCUCUUUGGAGUCCUAAUAGUCCACACCACUAAAGGCACCUCCCAGGACAGCUAUUUGCAGGUUCUCACCCUCGACACCGCUAAAGGCAUCUCCCAGGGCAGACAUCCGGGGUCCUAACUCUCCACACUGCUACAGGCAUCUUCCAAAGCAGCCCUGCACCUCACCCAUCGCCACGAUAGGGGGUUGGUCUAGGACCCCCCCCAACCCCAAACACACACCUCUCCCCACAUCCGUCCCUCAGUGGUCUACUAACCUCCCUCUACCCCCAUCUCACACCCUCCGCCCUUCUUCAACUAUUCAGUCUAUGCAGUCAUUCUUAGUCCCCCUCAGCAGGAAUUACUCUGAAACCCAAAACAACAAACUCACCUAAUUACACUUCUAGCUAGCUAGCUUGCGACCUGCUAGCCUGUUAGCCUCCUAAUAUAGUCCGACUCUGAACAUUAUCCUGCUAGCCUUCCCCUCUUUGGGUCUAUAAAGGAGGGAGUAGAUUAGCUAGCCUGGUUUAGCCUAUGAUCUCCCUGCUUUAUCUGCCCCAAUCAGAGGGGCUCUGGAACCUUUAGGUGACUGAAAGAUCCACAGGGGGAGGGGGUUACCGAUAAGCCACGGCUUCUUCCUUUUUCUUUAUGGGCAUUUCCUGUCUGAUGACAGCACAGCACACCUGGAUAUGUUGUUUCCAAGGGAACCCCAGGACUAGUGCGUACGUGCCUACAUAGCUACGUAUAGACUGAACUCUAAUAAUAACUAAAGUCAUGUACAGAAAAACGAUAUAUGAAACCUGUAUGUUAUUAAGACCUUAUGGAAUGUUCAUACUAAUAAUGAUAAUAAUGAAGAUAUUGAUACUUUAGUGGUGACUCCUGGUCCUGGAUUGAGUGACCUUCACAAGUGUCCAGCUGGAGGUCACCUGACUGACCGUUGUAAUGGCUAACGCUGCUCUCCCAUUUCUAUCGGGAGAAACUACCUUCCUUUUUUUUUUUUUUUUUACAGAUAACGGUAGCUAAAUGGAACAAACUUUUGCACACCUGAUGUAACGUGAGAGAGAGAGAGAGAGAGAGAGAGAGAGAGAGAGAGAGAGCUUUGAUAGAGCGAGGUUAAGGGAACUAAAUUGUAAUUUGGGAAGUAUGUUUGCUCAAGGGUACUUAGGAAAGUGUACUAGCUGAACGGUACUUGCUGAAGUGUACUUGAUGAAGUGUACUUGAUGAAGGGUAAAUGUAAUCUAAUUUAUUUGAGGCCUCAGGUUAACAUGAUUGGUUCUUAGUUACUGAGAUUCUCUAUCUUCUUCUGGACCUUUCAGUUCAGCUCUGACCCUGAUGUUACUCAGAUAUGAAUGGUGAAACACUACAUUAUAAAUAUACUUCAUAUAUAUAUAUAUAUAUAUAUAUGUACUGUAGGUAUUAGAGAUAUAUUUUAAGGCCAUGCAAUGAUAUAUUUGUAUCAUGGCAAUGUCUCUCAUCCUCCAGUUAUAACAGGGUUAUUUCUCUGACUUACCCCUAACUGAAUAACACUGACAUGUCUUGAAAAUGUUAUGAUAUCAUUUAACCUGCUGAACAUGUUAUGACAUAUGUACAUAUAAUAUGUAUGUAUAUACAUAAUAAGUACAUACAUGUAAUACAUUAUAACUAAUCCCUAUUUGGAGACCAAUGGCCAGUGCAGAGCGAGAUCUAGACAGAACUGAUAAAUGAUUGUUGUAUCUAAACCAAAGGUUGGCACUUAGACAAAGACACAGCUCUCUCUGUCUGUCUUUAACAUUGUGAUUUAAAAAAAAAAAAUGUAUUUAUUAAUUUGAUUAUUUUGUUGCUGUUGUUUGUGUUGUGGAUGUUGGAGAAUGUAGCCAACUGUAGCGCAUGAGUCUGCUAUGCAAAUCAACCUUCCCUCCUGACCCUUGACCUCUGACCUGACAGAUAGGAUGCAGGAAGUGGACACGCCCACGAACGGACGCUUUAUUUACGAAUUUAAGUCAAGAAGAUACGUGAUUAAAUGCUGCUGUUGAACUCUGUACUAAGUCAUAGGCUCGAUCCCAAAUGGCACCCGUCUCCCUAUGUACUACACACUACUUUUGGCCAGAGCCCUACAUAGGGAAUAGGGUGUGAUUUCCGAUUCGCACCAUAUACAUACAUAGUACUGAAGUGGUUCACUAUGUAGUAAGAAGGGAUAAUGUAUACCAGGGGUAUUCAACUCUUACCCUACGAGGUCCGGAGCCUGCUGGUUUUCUGUUCUAACUGAUAAUGAAUUGCACACACCUGGUGUCCCAGGUCUAAAUCAGUCUCUGAUUAGAGGGGAACAAUGAAAAGAAACACAGUUGAACUGGCUUCUAGGUCCAGAGUUGAGUUUGAGGGCUGUAUACUAUGCUAGGAACAGUCAAUGGAAAUUCAAUGCAAAGAGAGAGUGGAAGAAAGAGCGUGAUGACGAAUGAAAGAGAGUACGUAGAGAGGAGAUAAAAUGAUGUACUGUAUGUGUGUGAAAUGGAGAUGAUGUGAGGAUGAAAGAGGGCUAGGAGUCGUUUUUAGAGAGCGAGUUGUAUGUGUUUGUGUGCAUGUAGGGUGUUUGUGUGUGUUGGUACUGGGUAUCAUUGCUUGGCGAACGAGGGAAAGAGCGAUCCUGUAUUUUUGCAAUAAAGUUAUUACCACUGCUCUCUUAAUGGGGCGUAACCACUCAUCUGACUCUGUCUUCUCAU
rnacentral:lncRNA from 1 species